GUCAGUGCCAUCACUCCGGAGAUUCGCCAGCAGGCUGAGAGGAACUCCAGCAGAUCAGCGCACUCCUGGGAGCUGUCAGGCACGUCUCCAGAGCCAAGUCAAAGUCCGCUGCACAGAAGGCCUCAGGCUUCAGGAGAGAAGCAGCGCCAGCGCAGCCCACGCGAUGAGAAGCUGGCAGGCACCAUCAUAUCUACGCCCCUCUUCAAGACUCUG